AACGAACGCUGGCGGCAGGCUUAAUACAUGCAAGUCGAACGCCCCCUUCGGGGGGAGUGGCAGACGGGUGAGUAACGCGUGGGAACGUGCCCCAAGGUAGGGAACAACUCCGGGAAACUGGAGCUAAUACCCUAUGUGUCCGAGAGGAGAAAGAUUUAUCGCCUUGGGAUCGGCCCGCGUCAGAUUAGCUAGUUGGUGGGGUAAAAGCCUACCAAGGCGACGAUCUGUAGCUGUUCUGAGAGGAAGAUCAGCCACACUGGGACUGAGACACGGCCCAGACUCCUACGGGAGGCAGCAGUAGGGAAUCUUGGACAAUGGGCGCAAGCCUGAUCCAGCCAUGCCGCGUGAGUGACGAAGGCCUUAGGGUUGUAAAACUCUUUCGCACGUGACGAUAAUGACGGUAACGUGAGAAGAAGCUCCGGCUAACUUCGUGCCAGCCGCCGCCGUAAUAC
rnacentral:rRNA from 1 species